rfam:Oryza glumipatula chromosome 1, whole genome shotgun sequence.
CCUGGUUCCCGUGUCUAACGUUUGACUGUUUGUCUUAUUUGAAAAAAUUAUGAAAAAAAAUUAAAAAGAUAAGUCACGCAUAAAGUAUUAAUCAUAUUUUAUCAUCUAACAACCAUAAAAAUACUAAUUAUAAAAAUUUUUUAUAUAAGACGAACAAUCAAACAUUGGCAUAGAAACCCACGGUUUAUCUUUUU